AUGCCCAAUGAUUAAGAAAAGACGCGUUAUUACGAGGACAGAAACUGGCACCUCCACCUGUCUCCCAUCUCCUCCUUCCUCCUUUACCUGUCUUCCUCUCCCUUCCCCCAAUCUUUACCGCUUUCUCCUUCUUCUGGAGUAUCCAGUGUCCUUUGAGAAAGAUUAUGAGAUAUGAGGGGCAU